UGCCAAGAAAAACACGUUCAUUUG
rnacentral:misc_RNA from 1 species